rnacentral:rRNA from 1 species
GACGAACGCUGGCGGCGCGCCUAACACAUGCAAGUCGAACGAGAGAUGAGGAGCUUGCUCUUCAAAUCGAGUGGCGAACGGGUGAGUAACGCGUGAGGAACCUGCCUCAAAGAGGGGGACAACAGUUGGAAACGACUGCUAAUACCGCAUAAGCCCACGGCUCGGCAUCGAGCAGAGGGAAAAGGAGCAAUCCGCUUUGAGAUGGCCUCGCGUCCGAUUAGCUAGUUGGUGAGGUAAUGGCCCACCAAGGCGACGAUCGGUAGCCGGACUGAGAGGUUGAACGGCCACAUUGGGACUGAGACACGGCCCAGACUCCUACGGGAGGCAGCAGUGGGGAAUAUUGCACAAUGGGGGAAACCCUGAUGCAGCGACGCCGCAUGGAGGAAGAAGGUCUUCGGAUUGUAAACUCCUGUUGUUGAGGAAGAUAAUGACGGUACUCAACAAGGAAGUGACGGCUAACUACGUGCCAGCAGCCGCGGUAAAACGUAGGUCACAAGCGUUGUCCGGAAUUACUGGGUGUAAAGGGAGCGCAGGCGGGAGAACAAGUUGGAAGUGAAAUCCAUGGGCUCAACCCAUGAACUGCUUUCAAAACUGUUUUUCUUGAGUAGUGCAGAGGUAGGCGGAAUUCCCGGUGUAGCGGUGGAAUGCGUAGAUAUCGGGAGGAACACCAGUGGCGAAGGCGGCCUACUGGGCACCAACUGACGCUGAGGCUCGAAAGUGUGGGUAGCAAACAGGAUUAGAUACCCUGGUAGUCCACACCGUAAACGAUGAUUACUAGGUGUUGGAGGAUUGACCCCUUCAGUGCCGCAGUUAACACAAUAAGUAAUCCACCUGGGGAGUACGACCGCAAGGUUGAAACUCAAAGGAAUUGACGGGGGCCCGCACAAGCAGUGGAGUAUGUGGUUUAAUUCGACGCAACGCGAAGAACCUUACCAAGUCUUGACAUCCCUUGACGAACAUAGAAAUAUGUUUUCUCUUCGGAGCAAGGAGACAGGUGGUGCAUGGUUGUCGUCAGCUCGUGUCGUGAGAUGUUGGGUUAAGUCCCGCAACGAGCGCAACCCUUAUGGUCAGUUACUACGCAAGAGGACUCUGGCCAGACUGCCGUUGACAAAACGGAGGAAGGUGGGGAUGACGUCAAAUCAUCAUGCCCUUUAUGACUUGGGCUACACACGUACUACAAUGGCGUUAAACAAAGAGAAGCAAGACCGCGAGGUGGAGCAAAACUCAGAAACAACGUCCCAGUUCGGACUGCAGGCUGCAACUCGCCUGCACGAAGUCGGAAUUGCUAGUAAUCGUGGAUCAGCAUGCCACGGUGAAUACGUUCCCGGGCCUUGCACA